UUGACCAUUCUUACUUAUUUUGAGAAGUGUCUGAAGAAAAGAUAUUUCUGAUGGGCUCAACAAACCUUUGGAGGCACAUUAGCAGCAUGAGGAAUUUAGUCAUUGCUGUCUGUCACCUUCGGACAAGU
ensembl:snoRNA